ensembl:lncRNA
GGGGUGUAGUAUAGUAGUGCUGUAUGGAGGGGGGUGUAGUAUAGUAGUGCUGUAUGGAGUGGUGCUGUAUGGAGGGGGGGUGUAGUAUAGUAGUGCUGUAUGGAGGGGGUGUAGUAUAGUAGUGCUGUAUGGAGGGGGUGUAGUAUAGUAGUGCUGUAUGGGGGGGUGUAGUAUAGUAGUGCUGUAUGGGGGGUGUAGUAUAGUAGUGCUGUAUGGAGGGGGGGGGGUGUAGUAUAGUAGUGCUGUAUGGGGGUGUAGUAUAGUAGUGCCGUAUGGAGGUGGGGUGUAGUAUAGUAGUGAUGUAUGGAGGAGGGUGUAGUAUAGUGGUGCUGUAUGGAGGGGGGUGUAGUAUAGUAGUGCUGUAUGGAGGGGGGGUGUAGUAUAGUAGUGCUGUAUGGAGGGGGG